CUGCCUGAACAAUGUGAGCUUCAUCAAAUUAACUGCAGCUUUGCCGUCAGUCCUGGCAGCCUCACGCAGGUUCUUGAUCGACCAAACGAUGGGGAACAAAACGGCACAGCAACACACAACAUCCACAAGCAAGAAUACUUGCUUCCACGUGAUCCAAUCCUGACCAUACGGGCCCGUUUCAUCAAUAACCACCUGCGCAAUAUUAGCAACGACCUGGAGUGGGAUCACGAUCAUCAGGACUUUCUUCUCUUUAUCCUGCAGAUACGGCUUCAAAAAGGACCAUCCGGUACCGAUCAAAACGAUCAACGUGAAAAGCGUGAUUCCUUUCAGGAAACUGAACAUGUAAAACAAGACGUCCCAGCCGUGGGCGCUGCCGGUGCGUUUGAUGUACGAUUUAUCUUCGGCCUCGCACAAGAGGUUCACCGCU
rnacentral:lncRNA from 1 species